UGUGUCAUUAUUUUUAUUCUUUUUGUGUUUCCUCAGGCUGGUUUCCGCUCCAAACUCUCAGAGAAUGUGUUUGAUCUGCUGGAUCUGUCACCUGCAGUGGUAACACACACUCACUCACACACACACACACAGAGAGAGACUAAAUGAGUCUUUAAACCUGUGGAGAUGAGAAUAUAAAAAUGUGUGUGUGUGUGUGUGUGCGUCUCUUAGGACAGGAAGGAAGCCGAGGGCGAGGCAGAUGUGGACAGCUGUGUGGAUGUCUCUGACUCUGCAGACAGGCAUGUGUUGCGUGAUGAAGAAGAGAAGAAGAGACAAGAAGAGAGGGAGGAAGAGGAGAAGAGAAAGCGUGAGGAAGAGGAGAAGAGACGAGUAGAGAGGGAGGAAGAGGAGAAGAAGAGACGAGUGAGGGAGGAAGAGGAGAAGAGAAAGCGUGAGGAAGAGGAGAAGAGACGAGUGGAGGGGGAGGAAGAGGAGAAGAAGAGACGAGUAGAGAGGGAGGAAGAGGCGAAGAAGAGACGAGUAGAGAGGGAGGAAGAGAAGAGAAAGCGUGAUGAAGAGGAGAAGAGACGAGUAGAGGGGGAGGAAGAGGAGAAGAAGGGACGAGUAGAGAGGGAGGAAGAGGAGAAGAGAAAGCGUGAGGAAGAGGAGAGGAAGAGACUGGAGGACUCAGAGAGACAGAUGGAGGAGGAGAGGAGCAGACUGAGGGAGGAGACACAGGGGAGACUGCAGCUGCUCAGAGAGGCUCUGAUGGAGGACGAGGAGCGCCGAAUGAAGGAGGAGAGUGCUGAGUUGCUCCGGGUCCUGAAGGAGCAGAUGCUCAAACAGAGACGAGACGAGGAGGAGCGACUGAACAACGACAUGCACACACAACUACAACAGCUCAGGUACACACACACACACACACACACACAGUCUAUCACCAUCGGUGCAUUUACACACACACACACACACACACACACACUGUAUCACCAUCGGUGCAUUUUCACACACACACACACACACACACGCACUGUAUUACCAUUGGUGCAUUCUCUCACACACACACACACACACACACACACACACUGUAUUACCAUUGGUGCAUUCACACACACACACACACACACUGUAUCACCAUCGGUGCAUUCACACACACACACACACACACUGUAUCACCAUCGGUGCAUUCACACACACACACACACACACUGUAUCACCAUCGGUGCAUUCACACACACACACACACACACUGUAUCACCAUCGGUGCAUUCACACACACACACACACACACUGUAUCACCAUCGGUGCAUUCACACACACACACACACACACUGUAUCACCAUCGGUGCAUUCACACACACACACACACACACUGUAUCACCAUCGGUGCAUUCACACACACACACACACUCGUCCCUUGUGUGUGUUCAGGCUUGAGAAUGAGGUGAAGCUGCAGGAGCUGUGCUCAGAACUGGAGGCGGAGCGAGAGAGGGUGGAGACUCUGAGGAGGCGGGACCUUGAGCACCUGAGGGAGGAGUCAGAGGAGGAGCUCCGGGCUGAGAGGAGGUGGCUACAAGAGAAGAAGGAGGAGCAGCUGACCUCCAUCAGACUACAGGUGUGUGUAUGAGAGUGUGUGUGUGUGUGUGUGUGUGUGAGAGUGCACCAAUGGUAAUACAGUGUGUGUGUGUGUGUGUGUGAGAAUCCACCAAUGGUAAUACAGUGUGUGUGUGUGUG
rnacentral:lncRNA from 1 species